UACGGGGGGGGCAAGCGUUGUUCGGAAUUAUUGGGCGUAAAGAGCUCGUAGGCGGUUUGUCGCGUCGGCCGUGAAAACUUGGGGCUUAACCCCAAGCCUGCGGUCGAUACGGGCAGACUUGAGUUCGGCAGGGGAGACUGGAAUUCCUGGUGUAGCGGUGAAAUGCGCAGAUAUCCGGAGGAACACCGGUGGCGAAGGCGGCUUCCUGGACCGACACUGACGCUGAGGCGCGAAAGCUAGGGGAGCAAACGGG
rnacentral:rRNA from 1 species